ensembl:rRNA 5S_rRNA 5S ribosomal RNA
GUUUACGGCCAUACCAGCCUGGGUACGCCUGAUCUCGGAAGCUAAGCAGAGUCUGGCCUGGUUAGUACUUGGAUGGGAGACCGCCUGGGAAUACCAGGUGCUGUAAGCU